rnacentral:rRNA from 1 species
CAAUAGCGUAUAUUUAAGUUGUUGCAGUUAAAAAGCUCGUAGUUGGAUUUCGGAUGGGAUUUGCCGGUCCGUCGUUACGAUGUGCACUGGCCAGUCCUAUCUUGUUGUCGGGGACUAGCUCCUUGGAUUCACUUCCUGGGACUAGGAGCCGACGAAGUUACUUUGAGUAAAUUAGAGUGUUCAAAGCAAGCCUACGCUCUGAAUAUAUUAGCAUGGAAUAACACGAUAGGACUCUGGCUUAUCUUGUUGGUCUGUGAGACCAGAGUAAUGAUUAAGAGGGACAGUCGGGGACAUUCGUAUUUCAUUGUCAGAGGUGAAAUUCUUGGAUUUAUGAAAGACGAACUUCUGCGAAAGCAUUUGUCAAGGAUGUUUNCAUUA